CCUACGGGUGGCUGCAGUGGGGAAUAUUGCACAAUGGGGGAAACCCUGAUGCAGCAACGCCGCGUGAGUGAAGAAGGAUGUCGGGAUGUAAAGCUCUAUCAGCAGGGAAGAAGAAAGACGGUACCGGACGAAGAAGCCCCGGCUAACUACGUGCCAGCAGCCGCGGUAAGACGUAGGGGGCAAGCGUGAUCCGGAUUUACGGGGUGUAAAGGGAGCGUAGACGGCUGUGCCAGUCUGACGUGAAAGCCCGUGGCUCAACCGCGGAACUGCUUUGGAAACUGUCUAGCUUGAGUACUGGAGCGGCAGGCGGAAUUCCUAGUGUCGCGGUUAAAUGCGUCGAUCUUCGGCG
rnacentral:rRNA from 1 species